rnacentral:rRNA from 1 species
AGCGAACGCUGGCGGCAGGCUUAACACAUGCAAGUCGAGCGGGCAUCCUUGUGGUGUCAGCGGCAGACGGGUGAGUAACGCGUGGGAACGUGCCCUUCGGUUCGGAAUAACUCAGGGAAACUUGAGCUAAUACCGGAUACGUGCGAGAGCAGAAAGGUUUAUCUGCCGAAGGAUCGGCCCGCGUCUGAUUAGCUAGUUGGUGAGGUUAUGGCUCACCAAGGCGACGAUCAGUAGCUGGUCUGAGAGGAUGAUCAGCCACACUGGGACUGAGACACGGCCCAGACUCCUACGGGAAGCAGCAGUGGGGAAUAUUGGACAAUGGGGGCAACCCUGAUCCAGCCAUGCCGCGUGAGUGAUGACGGCCUUAGGGUUGUAAAGCUCUUUUCUGCGGGACGAUAAUGACGGUACCGGAGGAAUAAGCCCCGGCUAACUUCGUG